GGCGAUGUCUAGUGAUGGUGAAGUUGUCUCCAGUGACAGACUGCAAUUACAGGUUUACUAUCGCCCGGUUAUCAGGAUAACACGGAGUGACAAUCAGGGUCAUCCACUGUCCAUCUUCACUGAGGUCAUCAAGGGUCACAAUGUGACGUUUGUGUGUGACGCUGACAGCAACCCGCCUCCUGCUUCCAUCACGUGGUCAGGGAAAGUAAACAGCACUACUGGGGAGCUACACAUCAUAGCAGCACAGCAGACGACACACGAAGGUAUCUACACCUGUACCGUGGUCACUGAGACAGUUGAUGAUGAUGAUCGUCUACCACUGUCGACAACUCAUCAACUUGGUUUCAUCAUUAAAGGUAUUCUAAGGCAUUUACUCACCUCUCUCACACACACACACACACACAGAUUAACAUUUUGUAUUUUCUGCCAGGUUUGGAAACACCUUCAGAUAUUUCGCGAAACACGGUCAUUUUCUCGCUUUUAUUCUAAGCCUUAUAAUCAGGAACAUUUUGAGUCUAUCGGCGACACUUUUUCAUGUACAUCAUGGGUUUUACAACAUGACACAAUGCUGAGGUAAGGGAAACAGCAAUUAAUCAAAGCAGAGAUAAUUACUUAUCCUAUGGUCACGUGAGAUUUAAUUUUCUUGUAUCUACAUUUUAAACUUAUGGUUACUUAUGUUUGUUAUGUCUUUGUCUUUGCAGUCCUUUAAAAAGACGUCACAUAAAUUACAGGAAGUGUAGUGAAUACAUUUUUAGAUUAUUAUCUUUGAUAACCAGCAUACUUAACCCAUUCUUUCAGUAAUAACAGUAUAUUGUGUCUCCUCCCAUAUAAAGAUUUAUGGGAAACUAUAGUGUUGAUAGAGAUAUUCUUUCUUGACCUGUAAAAAAUCUCUUUGCAGGUUACUGUGUGUUUUUGUUUGUUCUUUAUUGAAAAAGAACGAGACCUGGAGUGAUUUCAACAGCGCAGCAUUUGUCUCCACGUGCAGUUGACAUUGCCAAAGGUUGAUGAAUUUGAGUGCAUGAAUAGACGACAGGGUCCGUGAGUUAACCUUACAUCUAAGUUUUUUUUUAAGUUAACUCCAGCAUUAUCUCUCCAGACUUUGAUGACAAAGUCAACUGUGUGAGUGAGCCCUUAUUUAACGUGCACGUGACAGGUAAGUAUCCAGACACUGGUUGUUUGCCUCUAAGUACAUAAGUAAGAAAUGGUCCACGGGGAGAGUCUUGACCCUGUCAGUUUAAUGUUAAAGGUCUACUUGAUCAUGUGGAGUGAAUUCCACAUCCUCCUGCCCUAUAACGUCCAUCCUACACAAAGUCCCGAGCAUGUUGAAGAACAUAUAAGUACCACAAACUAAAGGUUAGGUUCUAUCUUGCAAUUGCUUUGUCAAGAUGUGAUAACAUAUUUAUAAAACUUAUUCUUAAUGUUCAAAACUAUACAGGCACACGCACGGAAAUAUGACCGAAAGAGAAAAUCAUAGUUUGAAACUAGCAGUAGUAGUUUAUGGAUGUUGUCGAACGAGUGUUCCAAUCUUGUUUUGUACUAAGCCGUUGGUUCUAUUUUCUUUGUGUGAGAUCACGACCAGCCUCCUCAGCCUCUUGUUCUCGUUUAGGCGAACAGACUCCACGAGUCACAUUCGUUCAGCAAAACCAUCACUUCCAGAAUUUGUGCACCUGGACAUGCUCUACUUCGUGAUCUACAGUUUCUUAACCAGUGAUAAGUGAAGAAGAGGAGGCUCAAAACUGCAGCAAAAGAAAAAAAAAACAUUCAGAUUGUCACAAGCAAUUUUUUAAUUUAUUGUAAAGAUAUCGAGAGGCAUGUCCAAUCUCUGCCUAAUGGUAAUUGAAAUGCUGGAAAAUGAAAGCUACAACUGAUUUGAGCGAGGUGACUGAGGAGGAAAUAAAGA